GGCAGCUGCGGCUCCCGGGCGAGGACAUGGCCAAGGUGUCGGUGCUGAAUGUGGCUGUGCUGGAGAACCCGAGCCCUUUCCACAGCCCCUUCCGGUUCGAGAUCAGCUUCAAAUGCAGCGAGGCCCUGUCUGACGACCUGGAGUGGAAGAUCAUUUAUGUGGGCUCAGCUGAGAGUGAGGAGUUUGAUCAGAUCCUAGACUCAGUGUUGGUGGGCCCUGUUCCUGCAGGAAGGCAUAUGUUCAUCUUUCAGGCUGGUGCCCCAAACCCAUCCCUCAUUCCAGAGACAGACGCCAUGGGUGUGACUGUGGUUCUCAUCACCUGCACCUACCAUGGACAAGAGUUUAUCCGUGUGGGCUACUAUGUCAACAAUGAGUACCCAAACCCAGAGCUUCGGGAGAACCCACCCCCAAAGCCAGACUUCUCUCAGCUACAGCGGAACAUCUUGGCCUCUAACCCCCGGGGUGACCCAAUUCCAUAUCAACUGGGACAACAAUCCAGACAGUCUGGAAGCCAUAGAAAACCAGGACCCUAAUGUGGACUUCAGCCUUCCCCUCAGUUGCACUCCCGUUAAAAGCCUGGGCCUCCCUAGCUGUAUCCCAGGCCUCCUUCCUGAGAACUCCAUGGAUUGCAUCUGA